rnacentral:lncRNA from 1 species
UCAAAAAGAUGUUUGUGAUGUCUGUGAUGGAAAAAAGUUGCAGAAGAAAAUGAUGAUAAGCAUAUAAUAAAGAAUGAAAUACAAAGGAAUGAACGCUCAAAGUUCCUCAUCUUGUAAGAAUGUUUAAUUCUAUUUUUUGAGUUUUUAAUUUUUGUCUUUCGUAUGUUUUCUUUUCUUUUGUUUUCCGCAUUUGGACAUUUUAUAUACCUUUACUCUGUUCCAGAAAUAGGAAGUGAAGAUCCAUUAUCUUAGGCGACGGGAGGUGACCAUUCCUGCCUUAAAAUUUGGGAGUCGCUGUGUCGAGUUUCUGGUUUUCGACACUGAGUGGAUUAUUACCCUCACAGAAAGAGAGACAAAGAAAGAAACAUUCUUGGUCUUGGACAAUGAACACAUGGAGACUAGCCCUUUACUGUAGGCAAAAAAUGCCUUAAAAUUUGGGAGUCGCUGUGUCGAGUUUCUGGUUUUCGACACUGAGUGGAUUAUUACCCUCACAGAAAGAGAGACAAAGAAAGAAACAUUCUUGGUCUUGGACAAUGAACACAUGGAGACUAGCCCUUUACUGUAGGCAAAAAAUGCCUUAAAAUUUGGGAGUCGCUGUGUCGAGUUUCUGGUUUUCGACACUGAGUGGAUUAUUACCCUCACAGAAAGAGAGACAAAGAAAGAAACAUUCUUGGUCUUGGACAAUGAACACAUGGAGACUAGCCCUUUACUGUAGGCAAAAAAUGCCUUAAAAUUUGGGAGUCGCUGUGUCGAGUUUCUGGUUUUCGACACUGAGUGGAUUAUUACCCUUACAGAAAGAGAGAGACAAAGAAAGAAACAUUCUUGGUCUUGGAUAAUGAACACAUGGAGACUAGCCCUUUACUGUAGGCAAAAAAAAACAUUAAUUUCUUUGUCUUUUUUUUUCUUAUACCUCGUAUCAUGUGUUACUUCAUGCAAUUCUAGGAAUAGCAGAUAUCGGCAGCAAAGCUAAGAGACCAUACAGCGAAUGCAGCUC